rnacentral:lncRNA from 1 species
GUCUUGUGAUUGGUCUAGAAGAGCUGCUGGCCCUCUAGAGAGACACCAGCACUGAUUGCAUAGGCCUGACUCAGCUUUUCCUCCUUCUCUGUCCGUGCUUUGCUGGCAAGCUUACUAACAUUGAGUGCAGCUAGGGGAGGAGGGGUUUCUGUUCGGUCAUUAAUUAUUUCCACUUCGGAAACAUACUGUAAGUUUAUGAGCAAGAUGUCUGCAUGGUUGGGCUUUCCAUUGGAAGAGGGACAUUUUAAAGCCAGCAUUUUGGAUUGGUGGUCAAAGGCUACCACCUCGCCCUGCAGCCGCUGCUCCUGGCACGCCCCGCUCCACACCUGGCUCCCAACGCUAUAUACUCGCCGGGAGGAGCCGCCAUCUUGGGAGUGCAGCCGCGGCCGCCCGGCGGCGGCGGCGGCGGCAGCAGCGGGCGAAAGCCGGGCCCCCAGUGAGCGCCGCGCCGCGCCGCCAUUUUGUGGAUUUUUAUCUCAGUUCCAUCACUUUGGCACCUGGCCUUUGUUGAAGAGGCAACUCAGUGACUCCCAGGAAUCUAAUGCCACAUCAUGCUAG